rnacentral:misc_RNA from 1 species
UGGUUCCCGCAUCGAUGAAGAACGCAGCGAAAUGCGAUACGUAAUGUGAAUUGCAGAACUCAGUGAAUCAUCGAAUCUUUGAACGCACCUUGCGCCCUUUGGUAUUCCGAUGGGCAUGUCUGUUUGAGUGUCGUGAAACUCUCAACCCCCCUAUUUUGUAAUGAAGUAGGAGCUUGGGCUUGGAUGUGACCGCUGCCGGAUCUUCAAUGAUCCGACUCGGUUGAAAUACACGAGCGUAUCCAGCUUUCUGAAAGGCAACGGCUUGACUCGGCGUGAUAAUUACUAUUCGCUGAGGACGUUGCAUCUCGAAUUUCAGAACCGUGAUGGCUACUAAUGCGGCCUCCGUGCCACUUAAGCUUUAGACCUCAAAUCAGAUAGGAUUACCCGCUGA